AUAGAAAAUUUUCUUGAUUAAAAAAUUUUAUUUAUUAAUUUUUAUUAAAAAAAAAUAAAAUAAUAUUUGUUUUAGUUUUAAAAAAAAAUAUGGAUUAAUUAUAGUUUAAAGUAUUUAUAAAGAAUGAUAUAAAAAUAAAAAAAGUAGAUAUUAAUUUUGUACCUUUUGUAUCAGGGUUUAAAGAAAAAUUAUUAAAUAAAUAAAUCUCGAAAAGUUAAGAUUUAAUUACAUAUGAUUAUUAAUGUGUCAAAAUUAAUAUUUAAUAUUUAAUUGGGAGUGAAAAGCUAGUCGGUUAAUUAGGAUUCUAGUUUUUAAAUAAAUUAAUUUAAUUGAGAUUUGAAUUAAAAAAUAAAUUUUUAUUUAAAAUGAUUUGAAUUUAAGUUACAAAGAGUUUAGUUUUUGUAAUUUUUAUAUAUAGUAAUAAAAGAUUUUUUUUAGAAUUGUUAUUGUUUAUAAUUAUUAAUUUUUUAAAAAGAAAAAUUUAUUUUAAAGAAUUUAUUUAAAAUUAAAAAUUUAUUUAAAUUUAUGUUUUACUAAUGAAAAUGAGGAAAAAAUUUUAAGAUUAGUAAAUUAAAAUAUUAAAUUAUAAAAUAGGAAUUCGGCAAAAUUAAUUUUCGCUUGUUUAUCAAAAACAUGUCUUUAAGUAUUGUAUUUAAAGUCCAAUCUGCUCACUGAUUAUUAAAGAGCUGCAGUAUAUUGACUGUACAAAGGUAGCAUAAUAAAUAGUUUUUUAAUUGAAAACUGGAAUGAAAGAUUAGACGAGAAAUUAUCUUUCUUUUUUAUAAAAAAUUGAAUUUAAAAUUUAAGUGAAAAUUCUUAAAUAAAAUUAAAAGACGAGAAGACCCUAUAGAUUUUUAUUAAUUAAUAGUUAAUUUAAUAUUUUAAUUGUUUAUUAAUUUAAUUGGGGCGAUUUUGUAACAUAAAAAACUUAAAAUUUUUAAACCAUAAAUUAUUGAAUUUUUUGAACUAAAAUUUUUAGUAGCAAGAUUAAAUUACCUUAGGGAUAACAGCGUAAUUUUAUUUAAGAGUUCGUAUCUAUAAUAAAGGUUGCGACCUCGAUGUUGAAUUAAAAGUUUCAUUGGAGUAGAAAUUAAUGUUAAAUAGUCUGUUCGACUAUUAAACUUUUACAUGAUUUGAGUUCAGACCGGCGUGAGCCAGGUCAGUUUCUAUCUUUAAUUUAUUUUUAUAUAUGGGUACGAAAGGACAAUUUAUAAAUAAAAUUUAUUUUAUUAAA
rnacentral:rRNA from 1 species